AAUAAACUAAUUUCUCACUUUUUAUAUUUAAUUUUUGACGUUUCAUCUUAUUCAAAAAAAUUUUGCGAUUAAUAUUUUUGUUUUUAUUAGAUGAUAUACUUUACGUGUGACUAAUUUUUUUCUAAUUUUCUGAAAAAUUUUCAAAUAAGACGGAUGGUCAAACGUUGGACACGGAAACCGAAGAAUUUAUU
rnacentral:pre_miRNA from 1 species